GUAGCCACUCAAGCAUCUGACCUUUAUUGGUAUCCACACAAAGAUAUUUUGAUUAGAACUCUAAGACUCCUGGGAUGCUAGCUCUCUUGUAGGCUUCAUUUUUCGGCUUAAAUUAGGGCACUUUACUUGAUAUAACUUGAAGCAGCCCUAUAUAGGAUCUUGGGGAUUGAUCCUAACCAUCAAAAAAAAUUAAGAAAUCUUUUUUUGAUUUUUUUUCUCUCUGCACUCUCUCAGAUCUCUAUUUAAUGUGGAAUAGGCUUGUGGAAAGAAGAGGACAUGAUUGUUGGCAUGAAGGAAGAAGGGGGCGGCA
rnacentral:lncRNA from 1 species